ACAGCAGUAGCCACGGGAAUACAGAGGGUGCGAGCGUUAAUCGGAUUUACUGGGCGUAAAGCGUGCGUAGGCGGCUUCUUAAGUCGGAUGUGAAAUCACUGAGCUUAACUUAGGAAUUGCAUUCGAUACUGGGAAGCUAGAGUAUGGGAGAGGAUGGUAGAAUUCCAGGUGUAGCGGUGAAAUGCGUAGAGAUCUGGAGGAAUACCGAUGGCGAAGGCAGCCAUCUGGCCUAAUACUGACGCUGAGGUACGAAAGCAUGGGGAGCAAACAGGAUUAGAUACCCCAGUAGUCCCUGUCUCUUAUAC
rnacentral:rRNA from 1 species